AUGUGGCACAAGACCCGCAAUACCUUGCCGAUGAUGGUCAACGGCCGGCAGACGGGCAACAAAAAGGUUCUGGUGCUGCACACCAACAAGAACUUCGACCAACAGAGGACCAACUGGGUGAUGCACCAGUACCACCUCAGGGACCUGGAGCAAGAGAAGGAGCGGGAGCUGGUCCUCUGCAAGAUUUUCUACCAGACGAACACUAGGGCCAGGAGUCGAGCAAGUUUCAACUGGGUUGUAGACUGCCCAGGCUUGAUUUUGUUUUUAACAGGCCCAGCCCAUGACGACAACAGUGCACAAUGA
rnacentral:rRNA from 1 species